rnacentral:rRNA from 1 species
UACGAAGGGGGCUAGCGUUGCUCGGAAUCGCUGGGCGUAAAGGGUGCGUAGGCGGGUCUUUUAAGUCAGGGGUGAAAUCCUGGAGCUCCAACUCCAGAACUGCCUUUGAUACUGAGGAUCUUGAGUUCGGGAGAGGUGAGUGGAACUGCGAGUGUAGAGGUGAAAUUCGUAGAUAUUCGCAAGAACACCAGUGGCGAAGGCGGCUCACUGGCCCGAUACUGACGCUGAGGCACGAAAGCGUGGGGGAGCAAACAGG